UACGUAGGGUGCGAGCGUUGUCCGGAAUUAUUGGGCGUAAAGGGCUCGUAGGCGGUCUGUCGCGUCGGGAGUGAAAACUCAGGGCUUAACCCUGAGCCUGCUUCCGAUACGGGCAGACUAGAGGUAUGCAGGGGAGAACGGAAUUCCGGGUGUAGCGGUGAAAUGCGCAGAUAUCAGGAGGAACACCGGUGGCGAAGGCGGUUCUCUGGGCAUUACCUGACGCUGAGGAGCGAAAGUGUGGGGAGCGAACAGG
rnacentral:rRNA from 1 species